UAGAAUCAAAAUGUGUGAUAACGUUGCGAUGGUCUUCCUCUUAUGGUCAUCUUCUCGUGAUUGUUGCUCCGCUACUAAAGGGUGGGAGGAGAAGAUUUACAAUAUCAACUCAUAGAGGACAUAUAGAAGAAAUUAAUGUUGAUGUCGUUGAGGAUCAAUUGAUUACUUAAGAGCACAAGAAGUAUAUUGAGCAAGACCAUGUUGAGCACAAGCAUGUUGCUCAACAACAACAUGAAGAAGGUGGAUUCCCAGGAACAGGACACCUUGCUGCUUACCCAUUACAUGUAGCAUGUUGCAUUUGCCUUAUGGCAAAGCUGAGAUCGAGCGGGGGGGCAAAGUGAUCUCUCAUGGCAAAAAGAAGUGAAAAAAUUUGGAUUAUAUCAUGAGACUGUUGAGCUUUUUAUCAUGAUGUCUGGAUUGAAUUCCUUAGUGAACUUAUCCUACGAGUACGCCGAUCAUGGAUUGAUCACAACAUUUGCGGAGAGCUGACACUUGGAGAUGAAUAAUUUCCAUCUUCCAGUAGCUGAGAUGACCGUCACAUUAGAUGAGAUGAACAAUCUGUUGCACCUGCUCAUUAAGGGUUAUGAUUUAAGGAGGCUCGAUCUCUUACCAUGAAUUUAAGGAUCGAGCUACUAGAAUUUUCCAUCGCUCAUUAGAACCGUUUCCUUAAGUUCUAUUAGGAACUCACUCUUGAGGUAAACUUUGAUGCCAACCGAAAUUACAGGGAAAACAAUAAAUGGGACGGGGGGAGGGAGGGGUGAAUAGUGCUUUUAAAAUCUUUUCGCAAAGCAAUAUCUAAUUACUUAUAAAAAGAACGUGUAAGGGUUUUAAGAUGAUUAGAUGUUAGGUUUUACAAUA